rnacentral:lncRNA from 1 species
UGGGAAAGCAGGUCUGAUUACCUUGGAAGUAUGAGGGAAACAUGAUUUAUUUCAAAUUCUGUUUGGUGUCUCCCCCAUCUUUAAAAGAAGUCCAUGGUGUCAGCUACAUUACAGACUUGUGUUUUUUUGUUUGUUUGUUUUUGUUCAGACCCCAGAUUUCACAUUCAUUUUCUGGAUAUGUAAUUUCUAGCACCUGUGUGAGGGAGGGAAGUAUCCCUGCUUCUGCCGAGAAGGGGAGGGGAAGUAAGUCCACAAAAAGCUACAUCUCUGAUUACGUUAGAGCUAUUAGUAGAACCCAGUAA